UCCGGUUUAACACCGGCGGUCUCUUUAGAGUGCCCAACUUAAUGGUGGCAACUAAAGACAGGGGUUGCGCUCGUUGCGGGACUUAACCCAACAUCCUACGACACGAGCUGACGACAGCCAUGCAGCACUUGUCUCCUUGUCCCCGAAGGGAAAGCCGUAUCUCUACGGUUGUCAAGGGAUGUCAAGACCAGGUAAGGUUCUGCGCGUUGCUUCGAAUUGAACCACAUACUCCACCGCUUGUGCGGGCCCCCGUCAAUUUCUUUGAGUUUCAGCCUUGCGGCCGUACUUCCCAGGCGGAAUACUUAAUGCGUUAGCUUUGAUACUCAGAGGGUUAACUCUCCGAACAUCUAGUAUUCAUCGUUUAAGGCGUGGACUAC
rnacentral:misc_RNA from 1 species